GGAGACGCCGGGCGCGAUCACCACGCACUCCCCGGGAUUCCAGUUGGCCGGGGUGGCCACCUUGUGCUUGGCCGCCGUCAGCAGCGAGUCCACGGCGCGCACCACCUCGUCCAUGUUCCGCCCCGUGCACGACGGGUACAGGAAGCUCAGCUUCACCUUCUUGUCCGGCCCCACGAUGUGCAAGGUGCGGGACGGCAGCUGCCCCUCCGCGUCCUUCUCGUCGGGGUCGACCAUGUUCAGUUGCUUGAUGGCCGACCGGUCCGGGUCCGCCAUGAUCGGGUACGUCACCUUGCUCCCAGGCU
rnacentral:lncRNA from 1 species